rnacentral:rRNA from 1 species
GCUCGUGUCCGCGCCCAUUCCAAUUCAGAGUUGCUAAGGGGAUGCCCGGAGGUUUAUUUCCGGUACGAUCCGACCCACUCCGAGGCGGAAAGCUGUAGGGGGACGCAGGAAGGUAGGUGAUCCCAGGCGAUGGUUGUCCUGGGGUAAGCGUGUAGGGAGAAGGUUAGGCAAAUCCGACCUUCAUAUAUCCUGAGACGCGAUACCGAAGCCGUAUGGCCUAAGUCACUGAUCCUAUGCUGCCAAGAAAAGCCUAGCAGCGAGUUGGCACGGUGCCCGUACCCCAAACCAACACAGGUGGAUAGGUAGAGAAUACCAAGGCGAUUGGGAGAACUGUGGUUAAGGAACUCGGCAAAAUGCAUGCGUAACUUCGGGAUAAGCAUGACCUCGUUAGGGUGAAGGGACUUGCUCCCGGAGCUCGAAGAGGUGGCACAGAAUUGGGGGAAGCGACUGUUUACUAAAAACACAGCAGCGUGCGAAGCCAAAAGGCGCUGUAUACGCUGUGACGCCUGCCCAAUGCUGGAAGGUCACGGGGAAGGGUUAGCCCUAGGGCGAAGCUCUGAACCUAAGCCCCAGUGAAUGGCGGCCGUAACUAUAACGGUCCUAAGGUAGCGAAAUUCCUUGUCGGGUAAGUUCCGACCUGCACGAAUGGCGUAACGACUUCCCUACUGUCUCAACCACAGACCCAGCGAAAUUGAAGUACGAGUAAAGAUGCUCGUUAGCUGUAGAAGGACGGAAAGACCCCGUGGACCUUUACUAUAGCUUGAUAUUGAGUCUUGUCAUGCGUUGUGUAGGAUAGGUGGGAGGCUAGGAAGCAUGCACGCCAGUGUGUGUGGAGCCACCCUUGAAAUACCACCCUGCGUAUGGCGGGACUCUCACCCUGACCCGUUAUCCGGGCCGGGGACAGUGUCAGGUGGGUAGUUUGACUGGGGCGGUCGCCUCCUAAAGAGUAACGGAGGCGCCCAAAGGUUCCCUCAGACUGGUUGGCAAUCAGUCGUCGAGCGCAAUGGCAUAAGGGAGCUUGACUGCGAGACGUACAGGUCGAGCAGGUGCGAAAGCAGGGCAUAGUGAUCCGGCGGUUGCGUGUGGAAGCGCCGUCGCUCAACGGAUAAAAGGUACCCCGGGGAUAACAGGCUAAUCUUCCCCAAGGGUCCAUAUCGACGGGAAGGUUUGGCACCUCGAUGUCGGCUCAUCGCAUCCUGGGGCUGAAGCAGGUCCCAAGGGUUGGGCUGUUCGCCCAUUAAAGCGGUACGCGAGCUGGGUUUAGAACGUCGUGAGACAGUUCGGUCCCUAUCCUCUACAGCCGGAAGUGACUUGAGAAAAGCUGUCCCUAGUACGAGAGGACCGGGAUGGACGCAGCUCUCGUGUGCCAGUUGUCCUGCCAAGGGCAUGGCUGGUUAGCGACCUGCGGGCGAGAUAACCGCUGAAAGCAUCUAAGCGGGAAGCUCCUUUCAAGAUGAGGUCACUCACAGGGUCAACCUGGUAAGGCCCGUGGUAGACCACCACGUUGAUAGGCCGGAAGUGUAAGCGCGGUAACGCGUUCAGCUGACCGGUACUAAUCGGCCGUGGGCUUGGUUG